UACGUAGGGUGCGAGCGUUGUCCGGAAUUAUUGGGCGUAAAGAGCUCGUAGGCGGUUUGUCGCGUCGGCUGUGAAAAACUCGGGGCUCAACCCCGAGCCUGCAGUCGAUACGGGCAGACUAGAGUGCUGUAGGGGAGACUGGAAUUCCUGGUGUAGCGGUGAAAUGCGCAGAAUAUCAGGAGGAACACCGGUGGCGAAGGCGGGUCUCUGGGCCGAUACUGACGCUGAGGAGCGAAAGCGUGGGGAGCGAACAGG
rnacentral:rRNA from 1 species